GGAAAAAUACGUGUGCACAAACUAAGAUUAAGCCAGGCACAGUGUAGUGUGCCUGUAGUCCCAGCUACACAGGAGGCUGAGGCGGAAAUCCCUUGAGCUCAGGAGUUUGAAACCAGCCUGGGCAGCAUAACAAAACCUCAUCUUUGAGAGAGAGAUUAAGAGCCCUAGCAACUAAGUUCCUUGUUCCUUGAGAAAACAGAUUGUUCCUUGAGAAAAUAGAUUAUGCCUUGUUCUUUUUUGUGGGCCAGCACUUAACAUAGUAUCUGUUCCAUAAUAGGCUCUAAGUAAAUGUUUGUUGAAUUAACAAAUAAAUAAGCUUUAAGAAAAAUCUUGGUAACUCUGAGGGCUUUGUUAUACUUGUUAAUGUAAAGAAAUAUUCUGUCUUCAAAGGCAGCAAGAAAAUAGAAGAAAAGGAAUAGUGGUGUAGCGUUAGAAUUUGGAGUUGGCUUGAAAAAACAUCGCUCUGAGCUAGACAUAUAUUGUAUUCAUUUUAAAGAUGGAAAAAUUGAACUAUACGGGAAGAAGAGAGUUUAUUUGGAAGUUCCAUGGGAAGCAGUGGAAAUCCAGUAUGCUGAUGUCACCUGAAACAACAAACUUCUAUCUGUUCAUCUUGGCAAAAACAAAUCAACACCUGACUGACAGAGCAGAAGCACCAUCAUCUUGGAUAAACACCACCACUUUAAGUCCAGCUCCCUUUCUAACCUCAUGCAUUUUGAGGAAAUCACUUCCCUUCUAACAACAAGCAGCCAGAAAGAGCAGACAGUAUAAAACACUGAUAAGACAGCUCGGGCACAGAGGAAGUGGAGAAAGUCUCUUGGGUAACCACAAAACUUCACAGUCUACAAUGGACCCCAGUAAAACAGUGGGUCCUAAUAAAUACAUUCCUUUCCCUUUAGGUGCACCAAGAUAUGGAAGCUAAAAGCAGACUUGGGGGGCGGGGGGUAGGAGGGGCUGUGCCUGCAGCUGCAGGAAGAUGUAUGGAUAAAACACAAAAAUUCUCCCUCCCAGAUAAGCAAGACAAAGAGAUACAGAAGCAGUCCAAGCCUGUGAUAAGCUCUCCCACCCUGAACCCUUAAAAACUCUUAGUCUGUAAGAGAGAAGGCUCUCUGACCUAACUUGGCCAGAAGCCCCUCCCAGGUUUAUUCUCCUAAAUAAACCCAUCUUUGACUGUUGAGUGCUUUUUGGGUUUCUUUCCUCUUUCUUUAACUCUUAAACUGACCUACUUACCCCUCCUGCAAAAUAAGGUAAGAACAAUACACAAGUAAGUCAGGAAAUUAAUUUAAGCUCUUUCUGCAAGCACUGGACUAGCAUGCCACAAUGUCCAAACCCUAAACAUGGUCAGAAGCAUCAGCUGGUGUACCGCAAUAAAAGUAUCUGUGCACUUCUGGGGCCUGCAGCAAGCUUAAAAU
rnacentral:lncRNA from 10 species